rnacentral:rRNA from 1 species
GACGAACGCUGGCGGCGUGCUUAACACAUGCAAGUCGAACGGAAAGGCCUCUUUCGGGGGGUACUCGAGUGGCGAACGGGUGAGUAACACGUUAGUAACCUGCCCUUGACUUUGGGAUAACUUCAGGAAACUGGGGCUAAUACAGGAUAGGAGCUCCUGCUGCAUGGUGGGGGUUGGAAAGUUUCGGCGGUUGGGGAUGGACUCGCGGCUUAUCAGCUUGUUGGUGGGGUAGUGGCUUACCAAGGCUUUGACGGGUAGCCGGCCUGAGAGGGUGACCGGCAACAUUGGGAAUGAGAGACGGCCCAGACUCCUACGGGAGGCAGCAGUGGGGAAUAUUGCACAAUGGGUGGAAGCCUGAUGCAGCAACGACGUGUGCGGGAUGACGGCCUUCGGGUUGUAAACCGCUUUCGCUCAUGACGAAGCUUUGUGUGACGGUAGUGGGUAAAGAAGCACCGGCUAACUACGUG